rnacentral:rRNA from 1 species
CUAUCGGGGGUAGUCCACGCCGUCCCCGAUGUCGACUUGGAGGUUGUGCCCUUGAGGCGUGGCUUCCGGAGCUAACGCGUUAAGUCGACCGCCUGGGGAGUACGGCCGCAAGGUUAAAACUCAAAUGAAUUGACGGGGGCGGCGACAAGCGGUGGAGCAUGUGGCCCAAUUCGAUGCAACGCGAAGAACCUUACCUACUCUUGACAUCCAGAGAACUUAGCAGAGAUGCUUUGGUGCCUUCGGGAACUCUGAGACAGGUGCUGCAUGGCUGUCGUCAGCUCGUGUUGUGGGGUGUUGGGUUAAGUCCCGCAACGAGCGCAACCCUUAUCCUUUGUUGCCAGCGGUUCGGCCGGGAACUCAAAGGAGACUGCCAGUGAUAAACUGGAGGAAGGUGGGGAUGACGUCAAGUCAUCAUGGCCCUUACGAGUAGGGCUACACACGUGCUACAAUGGCAUAUACAAAGAGAAGCGACCUCGCGAGAGCAAGCGGACCUCAUAAAGUAUGUCGUAGUCCGGAUUGGAGUCUGCAACUCGACUCCAUGAAGUCGGAAUCGCUAGUAAUCGUGGAUCAGAAUGCCACGGUGAAUACGUUCCCGGGCCUUGUACACACCGUUUGUCACACCAUGGGAGUGGGUUGCCCCGAAGUAGGUAGCUUAACCUUCGGGAGGGCGCUUACCACCGCGGUGAUUCAUGACUGGGGGAAAUCGUAACAAGGUAACCGUAGGGAACCGUCUC